rnacentral:rRNA from 1 species
UGGGGAAUAUUGCACAAUGGGGGGAACCCUGAUGCAGCCAUGCCGCGUGAAUGAAGAAGGCCUUCGGGUUGUAAAGUUCUUUCGGUGACGAGGAAGGUUGAUAGGUUAAUAGCCUAUCAAAUUGACGUUAAUCACAGAAGAAGCACCGGCUAACUCCGUGCCAGCAGCCGCGGUAAUACGGGGGGUGCGAGCGUUAAUCGGAAUAACUGGGCGUAAAGGGCACGCAGGCGGUGACUUAAGUGAGAUGUGAAAGCCCCGAGCUUAACUUGGGAAUUGCAUUUCAUACUGGGUCGCUAGGGUACUUUAGGGAGGGGUAGAAUUCCACGUGUAGCGGUGAAAUGCGUAGAGAUGUGGAGGAAUACCGAAGGCGAAGGCAGCCCCUUGGGAAUGUACUGACGCUCAUGUGCGAAAGCGUGGGGAGCAAACAGGAUUAGAUACCCUGGUAGUCCACGCUGUAAACGAUGUCGAUUUGGGGAUUGGGCUUUGAGCUUGGUGCCCGUAGCUAACGUGAUAAAUCGACCGCCUGGGGAGUACGGCCGCAAGGUUA